rnacentral:rRNA from 1 species
UGAGGAAUCUUGCCCAAUGGGGGAAACCCUGAGGCAGCGACACCGCGUGCGGGAUGAAGGCCUUCGGGUCGUAAACCGCUUUUCUGGGGGACGAGUAAGGACGGUACUCCAGGAAUAAGUCCCGGCUAACUACGUGCCAGCAGCCGCGGUAAAACGUAGGGGGCGAGCGUUAUCCGGAAUCACUGGGCGUAAAGGGCGUCUAGGCGGCAGCCUAAGUCCCGUGUGAAAGCUCCCGGCUCAACUGGGAGAGGGCAUGGGAGACUGGGCAGCUAGAGACUCGGAGGGGGGUGUGGAAUUCCCGGUGGAGUGGUGGAAUGCGUUGAGAUCGGGAGGAACACCAGUAGCGAAGGCGGCACCCUGCCGAGAUCUGACGCUGAAGCGCGAGAGCGUGGGGAGCGAACGG